ACCAGAGCCCAGGCGGGCUCCUGUUCUCUCACUUGGCUGGCCUCGUCCCACAGUCCUGCUGGAGAGAGACUGGGGGUCACAGAAUGGUGCAGCUUCCCGUUCUGUGUGGCUGGCUGCUUGUGGCUGCUGCGGAUUCAGGUCAGACGGCAAGCUCAGGAGGGGAGAGGGGCCCAGUCGCGGGGUACCAUGGGCAGUGGCUCCCUAACCCCUGCCCUGCCACAGCCACCCCAGGCAUUACCCCUCACCCUGCCUUCUGCUCUCAGCAGUCUCCUGUCAGCAUCAGUCUCGGGUCUCCCUCUGGAGGACUUAACUCACUUAUUUCUCCCGAGGAUGUCCACUCCAUCGACCUUCGACUGGCCCUGCUGUGUAUUUCAGAUGCCGCUGCAAGCCUGGUGGAGCAAAGGCCCCGGUGGGUCCUCGUGCCCCGUGGACAGUCCAGGACCCUGCACUGCAUCCUGAGGGAUGCCCAGUACCCCUGGAUGAGCUGGUACCAGCAGGAUCUCCAGGGGCAGCUACAGAGUCUGGCCUCUCUGCGUAGUCCUGGGGAUGAGGAGGCCGUAUCCCGUCCUGGAGCAGAUUACCUGGCUACACGGGUCAGUGACAUGGAGCUGACGCUGCGUGUGGCCAACGUGACCCAGGGCAGAACUCUCUUCUGCACCUGCAGCAAAGACACAACGAGAAAGCUUCCUUGAGUAUCUGAGUAAAAACCACAUACAUAGACGCCAAGCCCUCCUCCUCGGCUUGCAGGCCUCCUAAGCCUACUUCUUCUCCACGUAGUCUGCCUUCCGGCCUCCUAACCACAAGAGAUGACUUCUCCCUUUACCGUUCGUGAAACAUUCUCUGCCCGAAUAGCAUAGCACUUUGACUCCAGUUCUGGGGGACUUGAGUACGGAUCUUGGCACUGUCACCUGCGAGCUUUGGGUAAGUCUCUCUUCUGCCCUGAUCUAGUUCUGUGUCUAUAAAAUGCAGAAAGCACCUCCAUCCAGCUCAGUGGGCUGGACAAUACAACAGGGGAAGUCUUUAGAAUAAUGCAGUGGGAUAGGACAAAUGAUCAACUGGCCCGGUGUUGCCCUCCGUGGGAUGCAUCUCUAAGAUGCAUGUUGUACACUGAGGCCAGUACCAGUCCUCAGAGAAGGAUUGUGGAAAUGCUGGGAGGUCAGAAAAGGGGAGGGCUGGAUCUCUCAACACUGCACUCACAGCCCUGGAAUUCACAGCCAUCUUCCCUGUGAGACCCCAUUCUCACUACUUACCCCACUUCAACUUCUUGCACCUCCGUCUCGAGCUCAUCUUUUAAAGCGAAAAACUCAGGAAGGACCACAGAGUGCUUUCCCCACACUGAGCUGGAAAGCUGUGAGUCAGAACUGAGUCUGUGCAUGGAAUGAGGCCACCCACAGACAGGGGCAGACCUAGGAGACUCCGCCCCCAGGGCAAAUUGGU